rnacentral:rRNA from 1 species
GAUGAACGCUGGCGGCGUGCCUAAUACAUGCAAGUCGAGCGAACAGACGAGGAGCUUGCUCCUCUGACGUUAGCGGCGGACGGGUGAGUAACACGUGGAUAACCUACCUAUAAGACUGGGAUAACUUCGGGAAACCGGAGCUAAUACCGGAUAAUAUAUUGAACCGCAUGGUUCAAUAGUGAAAGACGGUUAUGCUGUCACUUAUAGAUGGAUCCGCGCCGCAUUAGCUAGUUGGUAAGGUAACGGCUUACCAAGGCGACGAUGCGUAGCCGACCUGAGAGGGUGAUCGGCCACACUGGAACUGAGACACGGUCCAGACUCCUACGGGAGGCAGCAGUAGGGAAUCUUCCGCAAUGGGCGAAAGCCUGACGGAGCAACGCCGCGUGAGUGAUGAAGGUCUUCGGAUCGUAAAACUCUGUUAUUAGGGAAGAACAAAUGUGUAAGUAACUAUGCACGUCUUGACGGUACCUAAUCAGAAAGCCACGGCUAACUACGUG